UGGAGCGGCCGAGCGGCGUGGAGGGGGAAGGGAGUGGCCGGGCGGCGGCGGUCAGCGGCCGGCGGCGUGGAGGCAUUGCGCCUAGCACCGGCGAAGACGACGGCGAUGGCGACGGCCAAGAGGCGGCGGAGCACCGCCGUCGACGGUGAUGGUGGCACGGAGCGGCAGCGAGAGAUGUUUCGGCGAGGAGCCUCAUCCUUGCGCCGUCGCCGUAGCUGCUCCGCCACAGCCUCAUCUUUGCGCGACCUGCCCAUUCCGGGCGUCGCGUCCGCGGCCUUUGCCACCACCGGUGCGCGGCUGCGCGCCGUCGCCGUCGCCGCAAUCCCUCGCCGUGAAAGCGAACCCUCCCCUCUCCCUGGAGGAAAAUAGGCGCCUCCGUAUCCGCCGCCGCCGUCGACGCCGUCACUUCGCUCUUCUGCUUCUCCUUGCUCAACAUUCAGGCCAGUCCUCCAGAUGUUAAAGCAGCGAAAUCGACCGCUGAUUGCAUCACUGUGGAUGCACCAAUCAAUCUGAUCUACGCAGAGACGUCGAAUGAUGGAAAUUGUUGAUCCGCUCCUGCUGUCCGGUGUCCACACAAGAGACCAAACCACUGUAAAGUUGGCGCAUGCAAGUGGUCCAUUCAUCCAAUUCAAUUCUCAUGCCUCGGUUAAGUGAGACCAAAUUAUUCAAUCCUUUUGAGUAAUGCAGGUUCUAUAUCCACGUUGUUCACUAAUUAGUUCUGCUCAUAGCAUGGACUCCCUUCUUGCAGCACUUGUUGCGUUGGCUUGUCACCUGACCACCCACCCAAUAAAAGAGAAGAAGAAACGUAAAUUAAUAACACAAAGGUAGCGAAAUGGCAACUACAUGUGGUGCGUGACUUGUUCUCUGGUUAACUUAAAAGUGAUGUUAUGAUCAAUGAGAAAAGAUUAUGGAAUUUAUGAUGGUUGGAACACCACUGCAAGGCCGCGGAGCACAGAACUGCAUGACACAGAUGUGGCCAGCAUAGCAAUGCAGUGGAACCUACUCUUAUGAUGAGUCUGAUCAAUAUGUGUGUGUGGAAAAGAUGAGGAUGCCACGGUGAUGACAGUAUGGUGGUACGGCCGACAGCAGUAAUGACAAAGUACAAUGUGGAGAUGGUAGGAGGCACUGGGAAAAAGAAUCCUGCUGACAACUUGGACAUAAUGACAUUGUUGGCUCAAAGAAAAGGAUGCGGAAUACAACAGAUUGGCUACGAAGGUCUCCAAUGCACCAACAUGCGAUGAUCAAUGUCAGCCUCCUCUAUGCCUCAUCCAUACAACGUUGACUGCUUCAGUACGUCUUCUGCACUGACUGUCGGCUGGUCUUCCUCUGCCGUCGAUGUAUGACGUUUGUUAUCCUUGCUGGCAUAUCCACCCUCUCUUAACUUCUCUAAUAUAUGCCCUCACCCACCAGGUUUGAUUUCUUGCUCCUUAUUGUCAUUCUGUUGAUCAUCUCAGAAUAUAACUUUCCACCAGCUAGGUGUAGUUAUUGGAUAUGGCAUUUGAGCUGAACUCAUGUAAGGAUCUGAUUGUUUGAACAUAUUUUUUUCAAAUUUGUUAGUAUUAAUUAUUGUUAUUCGAAAAAUAUGAUAUUCACUUGUUUGAACCAAAUAUUGGACAAUUCCAUGAUACUAAUA